UACUGUUAAAACCCAGCCACCAUUGAGAAUUUUAAAUAAAUCGAAACAAUCCAAUCCACAAUACAUUCCAUAACUUUUAACAGUUGUCAAAAAUACUAUAGCUGCAUAUAUUAGCGACUCUUUUUCAAAUACCGAAUAAAUUUGCUUCAAGUCAAGUUCAAUUUUUGCAUUGAUCAACUAGUUUUGGUGAUCUUUCUAGUAAUUAUUACGCACUACAUGGGAAUCAUAGAUUUCUGUUAAAUUCUUUUUU